rnacentral:rRNA from 1 species
CCUACGGGGGGCUGCAGUGGGGAAUAUUGGACAAUGGGGGGAACCCUGAUCCAGCCAUGCCGCGUGUGUGAAGAAGGCCCUCGGGUUGUAAAGCACUUUCAGUGAGGAAGAACGCCUGGUGGUUAAUACCCAUCAGGAAAGACAUCACUCACAGAAGAAGCACCGGCUAACUCCGUGCCAGCAGCCGCGGUAAUACGGAGGGUGCGAGCGUUAAUCGGAAUUACUGGGCGUAAAGCGCGCGUAGGUGGCUUGAUAAGCCGGUUGUGAAAGCCCCGGGCUCAACCUGGGAACGGCAUCCGGAACUGUCAAGCUAGAGUGCAGGAGAGGAAGGUAGAAUUCCCGAUGUAGCGGUGAAAUGCGUAGAGAUCGGGAGGAAUACCAGUGGCGAAGGCGGCCUUCUGGACUGACACUGACACUGAGGUGCGAAAGCGUGGGUAGCAAACAGGAUUAGAUACCCUAGUAGUC